rnacentral:tRNA from 1 species
UAAAUUUUAAGUUAUAUAAACUAAGAACCUUCAAAGUUCUCAAAAAGAGACCUCUUAAAUUUAA